rnacentral:rRNA from 1 species
GCACCUGGCGGCGUGCUUACACAUGCAAGUCGAGCGAUGAAGCUCCUUCGGGAGUGGAUUAGCGGCGGACGGGUGAGUAACACGUGGGUAACCUGCCUCAUAGAGGGGAAUAGCCUUUCGAAAGGAAGAUUAAUACCGCAUAAGAUUGUAGUACCGCAUGGUACAGCAAUUAAAGGAGUAAUCCGCUAUGAGAUGGACCCGCGUCGCAUUAGCUAGUUGGUGAGGUAACGGCUCACCAAGGCGACGAUGCGUAGCCGACCUGAGAGGGUGAUCGGCCACAUUGGGACUGAGACACGGCCCAGACUCCUACGGGAGGCAGCAGUGGGGAAUAUUGCACAAUGGGGGAAACCCUGAUGCAGCAACGCCGCGUGAGUGAUGACGGUCUUCGGAUUGUAAAGCUCUGUCUUUAGGGACGAUAAUGACGGUACCUAAGGAGGAAGCCACGGCUAACUACGUGCCAGCAGCCGCGGUAAUACGUAGGUGGCAAGCGUUGUCCGGAUUUACUGGGCGUAAAGGGAGCGUAGGUGGAUAUUUAAGUGGGAUGUGAAAUACCCGGGCUUAACCUGGGUGCUGCAUUCCAAACUGGAUAUCUAGAGUGCAGGAGAGGAAAAGAGAAUUCCUAGUGUAGCGGUGAAAUGCGUAGAGAUUAGGAAGAUACCAGUGGCGAAGCGCCUUUCUGGACUGUAACUGACACUGAAGCUCGAAAGUGUGGGGAGCAAAAAGGUUUAAAUACCCUGGUAGGUCCCGGCCGAAACGAUGAAACUAGGGGGAGGGGUUGUCU